GACGAACGCUGGCGGCGUGCCUAAUACAUGCAAGUAGAACGCACAGGAUGCACCGUAGUUUACUACACCGUAUUCUGUGAGUUGCGAACGGGUGAGUAACGCGUAGGUAACCUGCCUGGUAGCGGGGGAUAACUAUUGGAAACGAUAGCUAAUACCGCAUAAGAACAUUUACUGCAAGGUAGAUGUUUAAAAGGUGCAAAAGCAUCACUACCAGAUGGACCUGCGUUGUAUUAGCUAGUUGGUGAGGUAACGGCUCACCAAGGCAACGAUACAUAGCCGACCUGAGAGGGUGAUCGGCCACACUGGGACUGAGACACGGCCCAGACUCCUACGGGAGGCAGCAGUAGGGAAUCUUCGGCAAUGGGGGGAACCCUGACCGAGCAACGCCGCGUGAGUGAAGAAGGUUUUCGGAUCGUAAAGNUCUGUUGUUAAGGAAGAACGUGUGUGAGAG
rnacentral:rRNA from 1 species